rnacentral:rRNA from 1 species
AUGAACGCUAGCUACAGGCUUAACACAUGCAAGUCGAGGGGCAGCAUGGUCUUAGCUUGCUAAGGCCGAUGGCGACCGGCGCACGGGUGAGUAACACGUAUCCAACCUGCCGUCUACUCUUGGACAGCCUUCUGAAAGGAAGAUUAAUACAAGAUGGCAUCAUGAGUCCGCAUGUUCACAUGAUUAAAGGUAUUCCGGUAGACGAUGGGGAUGCGUUCCAUUAGAUAGUAGGCGGGGUAACGGCCCACCUAGUCUUCGAUGGAUAGGGGUUCUGAGAGGAAGGUCCCCCACAUUGGAACUGAGACACGGUCCAAACUCCUACGGGAGGCAGCAGUGAGGAAUAUUGGUCAAUGGGCGAGAGCCUGAACCAGCCAAGUAGCGUGAAGGAUGACUGCCCUAUGGGUUGUAAACUUCUUUUAUAAAGGAAUAAAGUCGGGUAUGGAUACCCGUUUGCAUGUACUUUAUGAAUAAGGAUCGGCUAACUCCGUGCCAGCAGCCGCGGUAAUACGGAGGAUCCGAGCGUUAUCCGGAUUUAUUGGGUUUAAAGGGAGCGUAGAUGGAUGUUUAAGUCAGUUGUGAAAGUUUGCGGCUCAACCGUAAAAUUGCAGUUGAUACUGGAUAUCUUGAGUGCAGUUGAGGCAGGCGGAAUUCGUGGUGUAGCGGUGAAAUGCUUAGAUAUCACGAAGAACUCCGAUUGCGAAGGCAGCCUGCUAAGCUGCAACUGACAUUGAGGCUCGAAAGUGUGGGUAUCAAACAGGAUUAGAUACCCUGGUAGUCCACACGGUAAACGAUGAAUACUCGCUGUUUGCGAUAUACUGCAAGCGGCCAAGCGAAAGCGUUAAGUAUUCCACCUGGGGAGUACGCCGGCAACGGUGAAACUCAAAGGAAUUGACGGGGGCCCGCACAAGCGGAGGAACAUGUGGUUUAAUUCGAUGAUACGCGAGGAACCUUACCCGGGCUUAAAUUGCAGAUGAAUUACGGUGAAAGCCGUAAGCCGCAAGGCAUCUGUGAAGGUGCUGCAUGGUUGUCGUCAGCUCGUGCCGUGAGGUGUCGGCUUAAGUGCCAUAACGAGCGCAACCCUUGUUGUCAGUUACUAACAGGUUCCGCUGAGGACUCUGACAAGACUGCCAUCGUAAGAUGUGAGGAAGGUGGGGAUGACGUCAAAUCAGCACGGCCCUUACGUCCGGGGCUACACACGUGUUACAAUGGGGGGUACAGAGGGCCGCUACCACGCGAGUGGAUGCCAAUCCCCAAAACCUCUCUCAGUUCGGACUGGAGUCUGCAACCCGACUCCACGAAGCUGGAUUCGCUAGUAAUCGCGCAUCAGCCACGGCGCGGUGAAUACGUUCCCGGGCCUUGUACACACCGCCCGUCACACCAUGGGAGUUGGUAGCACCCGAAGUCGCUGAGGUAACCGAAAGGAGCCAGGCGCCGAAGGUGAGACCAAUGACUGGGGUG